UUUUUUGAGGAUUUGAUCCUGGUCCAGGAUGAACGCUGGCGGCGUGCCUUAGGCAUGCAAGUCGAUCGGUCCGCAGGACCGAACAGAUCAACUUGUAACUUGUAACCAGUAACAAUUAACUGAUACGAUAAAAUUGUGAAUAAAACUUUUCGCUUUUUAGAUUUUAAAGUAUAUAAAGAUUCAAAAUUAUUUUACAAAGAACUUGUAUUAGUUACAAAGGUAUUUCCCAGAGAAUAUUGGGAAUUAGGAGACCAGCUUAGGAGAUGUUUAUUGUCUGUUUGUUUGAACAUAGCAGAAGGUUCAGGUAAAGCUUCGGAUAAAGAAUUCAAUAGGUAUUUAAAUAAUUCAUUGGGUUCAAUUAAUGAAGCAGCAGCGUGUUUAGAUAUAGCAUGCGAAGCGGGGUUAAUAUCAAAUCCCGUAACGAAGACAUUUUUAUUACGAGCAAAACAGAUCGCAGAUCAACUUGGUGGAUUCUCCAAAAAACUGAAGUCUUCUUAAUUGUUAAUUGUUUCUUGUUAAUUGUUGGUAGGUUCUGUCCUGCGGACAGAGGCAGACGGGUGAGUAACGCGUAGGAAUCUACCUCUAGGUGGAACAUAGCCGUCCGAAAGGAUGGGUAAUAGUCCAUGGUCCCCUCACCUCACGAGGUGAGGGGUAAAGCAUUAACUUUGCGCCAAGAGAGGAACCUGCGUCCUAUCAGCUAGUUGGUGGGGUAAUGGCCUACCAAGGCUAUGACGGGUAGCUGGACUGAGAGGUCGGUCAGCCACAACUGCACUGAGACACGGGCAGUACACCUACGGGUGGCAGCAACUAGGAAUAUUGGGCAAUGGACGAAAGUCUGACCCAGCGACGCCGCGUGGAGGAAGACGGCCUUAGGGUUGUAAACUCCUUUUGCCCCGCCACAUGGCGGGGCGAAUAAGCCUCUACUAACUACGUGGCCCCGAUUUGAUCGGGGUUGGCGCGUAGUAUAAAUCUUACUGUAUGCUGGAAACUUCUGUAAAUGCUAGAUUACUCUUUGAGUGAAAAUAUCUAGCCAACCCAAAAAAGCUUCGAGACAGCAUGAGGGUUGCAGAACAAUCAGCAGGAAACUACGUUCAGUUUACAUGAAUGUAGGAUCCUCAGAGACUAUACGUAAGAGUCGCCUUAGGCGACAAGAGAUAGUCCACGUUACGUAGAUAUUUGUAAGCAAAGGGGCGUGCCAUCCCACACGAGCUUACUUUGCGUCUUUUCAGUACUAUUCGUACACGACGCAAAGAGCGCUUCGGCGGGAUGCCCACGUUAAUUUUGCUUCGCAAAAUUUUACGUGGCCAGAAGUCUCGGUAAUACGUGGGAGGCAAGCGUUAUCCGGAUUUAUUGGGCGUAAAGUGUGCGUAGGCGUCCCGCCCAGUUCUUGUUUAAAGCUCAAGGCUUAACCUUGAAAAAGGCGAGAAUACUGGCGGGAUUGAGGAUUGGCAGGGAUGCUGGAACAGCUGGUGUAGCAGUGAAAUGCGUUGAUAUCAGCUGGAACACCAAAGGCGAAGGCAGGCAUCUGGGCUUUUCUCUGACGCUGAGGCACGAAAGCUAGGGUAGCGAAACAGAUUAGAGACCUGUGUAGUCCUAGCCGUAAACGAUGUCCGCUAGCUCUGUCCGCCUCUGGUGGACGGGGUGCAAGCUAACGCGUUAAGCGGACCGCCUGGGGAGUACGGCCGCAAGGCUAAAACUCAAAGGAAUUGACGGGG
rnacentral:ncRNA from 1 species